AAGUGAAAGUGAUUAGAGAUAGAUUGAAAGUAGCUCAGGAUAGGCAAAAGAGUUAUGCUAACAAUCGAAGGAGAUUCUUGGAGUUUGAAGUUGGUGAUAGAGUAUUUUUGAAAAUUUCUCCAUGGAAAGGGGUAAUUCGGUUUCGAGGUAGGGGAAAGUUGAAUCCCCGAUAUAUAGGUCCAUUUUUGAUUCUAGAGAGAAUUGGACCGGUAGCCUAUCGAUUAGAAUUACCACCUGAGUUGGAAAAGAUUCACAAUGUGUUUCAUGUCUCCAUGUUGAAGAAGUAUAUCCCUGACUCUUCUCAUUGUCUUGAAACACCACCAGUGGAGUUAAGAGAAGAUUUGAAGUUUGAGGUGCAACCGGUGAAGAUUUUGGAUCACCAAGUGAAAAAUCUUCGAAGAAAGAACAUACCUAUGGUAAAAGUACUUUGGAGGAAUGAUGUGGUAGAAGAAAUAACUUGGGAACCAGAAGGAGCAAUGAAGAGUAAAUAUCCCUUGUUGUUUGAAACUAGAGGAGGAGAAGCUUCAAGCAAAGGAAAAGAGAUUACGGACAAGUAACCUUGGAGGGUGUUAGCUUGCCAAGUUUGUGACAGCACAGCAGCGGGAUAGCAGCGUAAAGUGCUUGGCAGAGUAGUUUGUAUUUUCUUAAGCUGUGUAUGAAGCUUAUAUAUUUUGGCAUGUAGUUGAUGGAUCCACUAGGAUAUUAC